UCUAAACCAAUAAUUAAAUCACU
rnacentral:snRNA from 1 species